rnacentral:lncRNA from 1 species
UGAGAGGGGGGAGGGUCAGAGGGAGAAGCAGACUCCCCGCGGAGCAGGGAGCCCGACGCGGGACUCCAUCCGUGGACUCCAGGAUCAUGACCCGAGCCGAAAGCAGUCGCUUAGCCAACUGAGCCAGCCAGGCGCCCCAAGAAGAUACUCGUAUUAAACCAGAAAGCGAUGCGCAUCCCGCGCAACCCGCCAAAGGGAUGCGAGGGCAGAGCGCAACCUCGCUGUCCUACGGGGCUCGACGAACCCAGCCCCGCGGAGGGCGGGGGGCCCUUAACCAGCCGGGACACGGGGCGCCAGCAGGGCCGCCAGGGACGCGCACUCGUCCGCAGACAGCAGCGCAGCGGAAGCACUGGCGGCUUGCGCCCCGAUGUGAACGCGGCAGCCGGCUCUCCGACCGGCCCCCCCGCAGCCGUUAGGGGACUUCCGCCCGCGCCCCCCCUGCGGUCGCACGCGCGCCCGGCGCUCGCGUGACGUCACUGCGGCCGGCUUCCGGGGGGCUGCGUGAUGACGCAGCGCGCGGGUGUGCGGGGGCGCUCCAUGUGUCUCCGGCGGCAGGCAACGUCGGGGCGGCGCGGGCAUCCGAUGCCAUCCGAGGUCGUCGGGGUUCCAGGCGGCGCCCGCCCCCGGCUGAGACCGGGUGAGCUCCGGCCGGGGUGCGGGCCGCGGCGGGGCGCCGGCCGAGCUUCCGAGGGAUGGGGUCGCGGCUGCCGCCGGGGGCGUGAACCCGGGGUCGGCCGACCGCGGCGUGCGCUGACCGCCUGUCCCCCCUCGCGGCGGUGCCCGGUCGGUCCCCUGCUGUCGCGGGAAGCUCUUGCGGAGCCCGCCCGGCCUGCGGCUGCGGAGUGUGAGCGGAGCGGCGGCCUCGGUGCCAGGAAGACUGCAGGGAGAGGCCGCUCUGGUCCAGGUGCAGAUGCUGAACACACCGGCCUGUGAGCUGCAUUCGGGAGACGCUCCCUGAGGCUCCUGUGUCUGCAGUCCUGGGAGCAAGGCGUUGGCUGAACUUUGGCCCAUCUUUUCAAGGAUGUUGGAGUAGCAGACAGCCUGGGGAUGGACGAG